ensembl:lncRNA
GCUCAGUAUGCCAAUUUUCUCCUUAUACUUCUUAGUUUUGUGAGCUAAUAAUAAUCCUGCCUUUUACAACUUUAAACCUGAGUUGUAUUGCUAUCGCCAGAAACUGAACGAGCACUAAUGCACCUCUCCUGUAUUCCACUCCCUAAGGCUUACACAGCGAAAUUUCAAAGUGGCCUAAUAGCUGGUGCCCUGCACCGUCUAGAUUAGAGCCGCUCAACAACUAUCUCCCACAAACACUUCAAUCUCGAUCUCAGUUUGUGCACCAUUACCCAAAAAAGCCAGGAGGGUUGAAACCUUGGUCUUCCCUGGGAUGCGUUACUGUGUUAAUUCUACUUGCUCUGCAAGUCCCUGCUCAAAGUGCACUUCUUUUGAAAAUUUCAGCCAUCCCUCCUCUAGGAGGCACCUCGAGAGUUUCCUCAAACACCAUGAGACUUUUACAGCAUACAGACAGAAGUAUUAUCUAAAAUAAAUUCUAUACAAUAUACAAGAGCAGUAUUUUGAACAGAAUAACCCCGUUGGAGUGUUAGGAUGGAUGAGCGGGGAAAGAACAAGGGGAGCUUGAGAGUCUAUCACAGGGGUCUUGCAGUGAGAUGACAAAGGCUUGUCUCAGAGUGACAGUAGGAAUGAAAAGAAGGAGCAGUUAAAAGAGUCAGGGGAGGGGAUGGAUGAGACAGGUGACAGGAUGUCCAAAUGGCUGAAAUGGCUUCAUAAAGAUAUAAUACCAAAAAUGAGAUUCCCUGAAUCUGGUCCUGUUGACAUCCAGGUAUAACCACACCAGACUACAAGAACUAAAAUUAUUUGUCAUAUGUUAAUGGAUACUUAAUUGGGAAUUCCCUGUAAGGAAACACAUGGCUGGCAUUAACAAUAGAAAUAUACAAGACUACAGUCCUAUUUUUGCUAUUUAAAUGACUAUGUUAUCUACAAAUAAAGCAAACAUUUUGCCAGACUUAAAAGACAAUACUAUUUGAGACACGAAGAUAGAUAUUUAAGUACUUCAAUAUUUAAUACUAGGGUGUAGUACAUAUGCUAUAGCAUAUGUCAAAUAAAAAAGCUACAUACGUAAAAUAUAUAAUAUACAUAUAAAUAUAUAAAUUAUAUAAUUAUACUGAAAUAAAGUUUAAACACGUUAAUUGCUUUCAAAGAGGAACUCAUUUAUUAGUAGUGUGUUUUAGAUAUAUGAACAUAUUUGCAGUCUUUCCAUACAUUUUUUACAAAAAAUAUUGGCAAAAGUAUUUAGGGAAAAAUUCAUUCAUCUAAAUCAGUAAGUAGAAACAUGUCAUUGUUUUCCUGAAUGUUCUUUCAAUCUUUGUUUACUUUUGAAACAGAGUGGUUGAUAAAUUUCACCUCUUUCAUUACUGCUCACUUUUUUGCCUGUCUUUCUUCUUCCUUUCCCUUCCAAACUUUCCUCCUCCUUCAGAAUUUCAUUGCUAGCAAGUAGUUAUUCAAAUUAUUUUCUUUCUCAAAAAGGUAUCUGAGUGUUCUUGGGCUUCAUUUCUUUUCAUUGAAGCUCAAUCAUAUAACUAGAUAUCUUAGGAUACAAGGAUGUGAUUCUGAUCGCCUCUUCAUGCAUUUGAACAGCACCACAGCUAAACUACCCAGAUGGCUACAACAGGCCACCACAGGAGACUUGAAAUGGGCAUAGCAUCCAAACACUUUUUUUCACCAAAAUAUUAGAAGUGGCUUGUGUCCCAGUUUGAAAAAAAAAAUCAUUUACCUAAUAAAGUUAGUGGCUAAGAAAAUAAUUAGAUGUUAUUACAUGCUUUUGAAUUAGCUCAGUGUUUUAGUUCACACAACUACGGGCAUGCAUGCAAAAAUCCACACACUUUCUCCAUAAACUCUCAGCUCUAGUCAGUAGUAGAAAUUCCUACCUCAAUUUCUAGUCUAGUUUCUUCAGGUUGUCUUUGAAGUCUGGAGCUCUGGCCAAAGCUUGUGACUGCUUGCCUCACUGCCCUCUAGGCAUCAUUGCAUGUUCCAUUGCUGAGGUCCAUAGACCUGCUGGAACCCCUUCUGUCCACUUAGAGCCCCUGAAGCUGUGCUGCUGCUGCUCUGAGAAUGUGCCCUUUGUACCCUGUCUUGGUCACUUCUCUGCACCUCUGAGGUCGGCAGGCAGAGGCUGAGGACACACCUUCCCCCAACACCUCAACUGUUUGGCCCUAUGGGGUAUAUUUUGGGUCAUUCCUACUCACUUUGACACAUCUACCCUGUCUUCAUGUGUAAAAAACAACAACAACAACAACAAAAAAACCAUGUCGAGAACAUCAAGCAUCAGGAGAUGAUAGUACUAUCAAAGGUAAUGUUUGGAUUCUUUAAUGCUGAAGGCAUAUUAACAUACUAUAUGCAUAUACAGCCAUGGCAAGAAUAUCAACUUGGAAUAUAAGAUCAUUCUGCAUUGUGAGUUCUUUUAAAAAACCCUAACACAUGUAAGUGUCCAAACUUAUGCGUCAAUUAAUAAGUCCUGAAAACGUGAUUCUGGAUCUGUACUUUCAUCCCUGAUAUGACCACAUUGUCAUAGAUGACUGACAAUGAAAGAAAUCUUGGUGCCCCGUGAUGUUCUUUUAAAUAAAAGAUCUUUUCCAUCAAGAACAGUGGAAUA